AGUGAACGCUGGCGGUAGGCCUAACACAUGCAAGUCGAACGGCAGCACAGUAAGAGCUUGCUCUUACGGGUGGCGAGUGGCGGACGGGUGAGGAAUACAUCGGAAUCUACUUUUUCGUGGGGGAUAACGUAGGGAAACUUACGCUAAUACCGCAUACGACCUACGGGUGAAAGCAGGGGAUCUUCGGACCUUGCGCGAUUGAAUGAGCCGAUGUCGGAUUAGCUAGUUGGCGGGGUAAAGGCCCACCAAGGCGACGAUCCGUAGCUGGUCUGAGAGGAUGAUCAGCCACACUGGAGCUGAGGCACGGUCCAGACUCCUGCGGGAGGCAGCAGUGGGGAAUAUUGGACAAUGGGCGCAAGCCUGAUCCAGCCAUACCGAGUGGGUGAAGAAGGCCUUCGGGUUGUAAAGCCCUUUUGUUGGGAAAGAAAAGCAGCAGGUUAAUACCCCGCUGUUCUGACGGUACCCAAAGAAUAAGCACCGGCUAACUUCGUG
rnacentral:rRNA from 1 species